rnacentral:rRNA from 1 species
GUAGUCUCGCACAGAUGCAUAUCAAUAAGCGGAGGAAAAGAGACUAACAAGGAUUCCCCUAGUAACGGCGAGUGAAGCGGGAAGAGCUCAAAUUUGAAAUCUUAAAGGGUUUCCCUUUACGAAUUGUAGUUUAAAGAAGUGUUUUCUGUUGAGGUUUUGGUAAAAGUUCUUUGGAAUAGGACAUCAUAGAGGGUGAGAAUCCCGUAUUUGACCUUUACUUUCAACUUUGUGAUACACUUUCAAAGAGUCGGAUUGUUUGGGAAUGCAGUCCAAAAUGGGUGGUAAAUUUCAUCUAAAGCUAAAUAUUGGCGAGAGACCGAUAGCGAACAAGUACCGUGAGGGAAAGAUGAAAAGAACUUUGAAAAGAGAGUUAAACAGUACGUGAAAUUGUCAAAAGGGAAGCGUUUGACACCAGUGUUGUUUUUCUGAAAAUCAAUUAAAGAACUGUUUAUGCUAAGCUGUUUAGACUUUAUCAGCUAACUGUUUAGUUUUGAGCUUUUCUUUAAUGCACUUUUCAGUUAACAAGUCAACAUCAAUUUCUUUUGCUGUAAAAAAGCUUGAGGAAGGUGGCUUGAGAUUCGUCUUAAGUGUUUAUAGCCUCUUGCCUAUGCAGUCGGAGAGAUUGAGGUCUGCAGCGUAGAUCCUUCGGGGCUAAAUGCAUUUGUGCUAAGUUAUAGCAUUUUAUAGACAACUUGUUGACUAUGAUUUGUCUUGUAGCUUACUCGCUUAUGUUAUUUUACCUACGCUUAGGAUGUUGAUCUGUAGUGCGUGCGC